rnacentral:rRNA from 1 species
ACGGGUGAGUAACACGUGGGCAAUCUGCCCUUCACUCUGGGACAAGCCCUGGAAACGGGGUCUAAUACCGGAUAUCACUUCCACUCGCAUGGGUGGGGGUUGAAAGCUCCGGCGGUGAAGGAUGAGCCCGCGGCCUAUCAGCUUGUUGGUGAGGUAAUGGCUCACCAAGGCGACGACGGGUAGCCGGCCUGAGAGGGCGACCGGCCACACUGGGACUGAGACACGGCCCAGACUCCUACGGGAGGCAGCAGUGGGGAAUAUUGCACAAUGGGCGAAAGCCUGAUGCAGCGACGCCGCGUGAGGGAUGACGGCCUUCGGGUUGUAAACCUCUUUCAGCAGGGAAGAAGCGAAAGUGACGGUACCUGCAGAAGAAGCGCCGGCUAACUACGUGCCAGCAGCCGCGGGUAAUACGUAGGGCGCAAGCGUUUGUCCCGGGAAUUAUUGGGGCGUAAAGAGCUCGUAGGCGGGUCUGUCACGUCGGAUGUGAAAAGCCCCGGGGGCUUUAACCCCCGGGGUCUGCAUUCCGAUACGGGGCAGACUGAAAGUGUUGGUAGGGGGAGAUCGGGAAUUCCCUGG